UACGGAGGGUGCGAACGUUAAUCGGAAUCACUGGGCGUAAAGCGCGCGUAGGCGGUUCGUUAAGUGGGAUGUGAAAUCCCCGGGCUUAACCUGGGAAUUGCAUUUCAAACUGGCCGACUAGAGUACGGUAGAGGGAGGUAGAAUUUCCUGUGUAGCGGUGAAAUGCGUAGAUAUAGGAAGGAAUACCAGUGGCGAAGGCGGCCUCCUGGAUCGAUACUGACGCUAAGGCGCGAAAGCGUGGGGAGCAAACAGG
rnacentral:rRNA from 1 species